CACACAGGCCUAGAGUUGUGCCUCCCACUGAUUGUGUGUGUGUGUUGUGAAUGUAGGAUUCCAGCAUCUGUUGGAAAUGUUUUGUCUUUUUUGGUGACUUCUUAAAUGCAUAGUUUAUAACAGAGCUACCUUAAAAUAAUCAAAGCUGCCUACAAGGUUUUUGCAGGUAGACGGAAGAGAAGGAAAUGUUUUCUCAUCAUUGUGCCAUUCCACCCCAGCUUCACCUUUUCCUGUGUUUGGUUCAAUCCUUGACUCUGACUUAGUCUCUCUAUGGGUCCUUAACCACAGGAUGAAGCAGCAAAGGAAUUUCAGGAGAAACACAAGAAGGAAGUAGGGAAGCUGAAGAGCAUGGACCUCUCUGAAUACAUAAUCCGUGGGGACGAUGAAGAGUGGAAUGAAGUUUUGAACAAAGCUGGGCCGAACGCCUCAAUCAUCAGCCUGAAAAGUGACAAGAAAAGGAAGUUAGAGGCCAAACAAGAACCCAAACAGAGCAAGAAGUUGAAGAACAGAGAUACAAAGAACAAAAAAGAUAUGAAACUGAAGCGGAAGAAAUAGUGAAGAGAAACUCAGCCAUCUGUGUUUGAUCAUGGGAAGAUACUCUCACUAACUGAACCC
rnacentral:sRNA from 1 species